rnacentral:misc_RNA from 1 species
UUUCCGUAGGUGAACCUGCGGAAGGAUCAUUAUUGAAUAAACCUGAUGUGGUUGUAGCUGGCCCUUUCGGGAGCAUGUGCACACCCGUCGUCUUUAUCUUUCCACCUGUGCACCUUUUGUAGACCUGGGUGUAACACUUUCCGAGGCAACUCGGUCGGGAGGAAUGCUGUCAGCUUUCCUUGAAUGUCCAGGCCUAUGUUUUCAUAUACCCCAAAGAAUGUAACAGAAUGUAUUAUUGGGCCUUGUGCCUAUAAACUAUAUACAACUUUCAGCAACGGAUCUCUUGGCUCUC